GAGGUGCUCUGGAAGAGCCUUUCAUCCUGAGAAGCAACAUAAAAAAAAUAAAAAUCUCUGAAAAUAAAUUAGUCAAAAUAUUGAGUGGGCGAGUUGUCCCUAUUACACCUUGCAUCUGUCUGCAUCUGUAUUAGGUCAGGGUCCCAAUUCUGAAAACAGACUGCAGUCGGGUGUUUUACAUACACAUCUUGAAGUCAUAAAGAUCGAAAGCUUGUGUGUUUGUUGUAACAUGCUUACCCGAUAUUUGAUGAGUGAAAAGCAACGUUGUCACUGUCAGCCCUGAACUGGCUUAAACGUGUCAACUUUUGAGGUUAAUUUCAUAGUGUGUUAACCCAGGAAACAUAAGGCAAGAUGGUAAUCAUGUAGUUCACUGAUGGCUGAAUUCUCCCCCAAAUUACCAGGAGCAGAUUCAUCCACUUACUUGCCACUUACCGGAAACAUCCACAUAUCCUGCCGAACAUGGUUUUACACUUUACGCUGUUGGCCUCAGAAACUCUUACGCUGGGCAAAAGUAAGUGCUCUGAUGGUAGCUUUUGUGAACUGUGGGUCUACAGUCAGGGAGCCAGUGCGUUUGAAGAGACAUACUAAUAUUUUCUAAGCUUUUUAAGAGUUCCGUCUCCAUUGUGUUAUUUGCUAGUGCUGCUGUUGCUGUAUAAACACUGCUGAUUUUUCCAACUUCAUUUCCGCAAUAUUCUAACAGAGCACAUUUUAGAACUUCAUUUUGCUUUAGCUCCACACCCCACCACCACCACAUCUUUCAUUGAUCUCCAUGUGGUAUUUAUGCUCACAAAUGCUAGAUGAAAGCUGAUUUCCCCAGAUCUUCUAGAUCAGAAGGGCAUACUUGGUUCUGCAGCAAGCGUGGGUUCCUGGAUGUUCAGUGGAUAUGAUUCUAAAACAUACCCAGUUUUGAUCUGUCGGGGAUUAUCCAUUUUUAGUUAGUCCUGAAAAUUUGUCAGAGACUGUGCUGUGGCUCUGUCUAGGCACGUUGUAUAUAGGAUGGUAUCCCAUGCUAUGUUGUAUGAGAUGGAAGCAUUACUCAGAGGUGGUAUUCCAUGAAACUAUUCUCAAACCAGUUCAGUGGCCCUCAAUGGAUGGGAAGUUUUCUUUGUUGUCAGUGAUUUGCAAACAAAUGUUACCAGUGUCAUGGUAUCAAGGAGAAAGUUUGCCAUUGGAGCAAUACCUGUUGCAUAUGAUGGUAUGGCUUUUCCUUAUGAAUUUAAUUGCAGUACCUGAAAUCUAAUGUCUGCUUCUGUCUGGGUGCUUGUGCAUGUGUUUUUAGACUAGAGAGUUUGUCUUUCACAUUUAACUUCUCCAAGAAGUCCAAGGUGUGUAUAUGGUGUGUACAUCUUUACAACCACAACAACCCUGUGAGGUAGGUUUGGCUGAGAGAUUGUGUUGGAGCCAAGGUGAGCGUCAUGACUGAACUGCAUUUGUUGAUGUGUUUAAAGUUAGCUGAGUUUCCUUUUCUUCACUGUAAAAGGAAGAUCUGGUAAAGAGCCUAACUGUGGAGGAUUAGGUUGUUGUUGUUGUUGUUAAAUCUGUAUAGGACAGUGAAGCUCCAUAAAGGCGAAGGGAGCCAUUGACAGGAGAUGAUUGUCUGAAAUAUAAGCCAAAAGACAAACUGAGAUGGAAGCAGGUAGCAAAUAACUAAGAUCAAAAUGAAGAAUGUUGCAAGAAUGGAGUGAAUUUAUCCGGUUCCAAGAGAAGACUCAACAGAUAGAAAAGCUUGGUCUGAGAACAAGAUAGGAUUUCAGAUUCACCUGCUCCACAGCACACCAAAAUCCAUUUGGAUUCUGGUGUGGAUUCUGAUGGCGAUUAUGGUAGUGCUAAAUAAUCAUGAAGCUUUUGCUAAGAUCCCAUCGUCCAAGCUUCUAUCGUAACUGUGAAUCCCAAACUAAUGUCCAUUUGGGGGUUUCUGCACCUUUGUAGAGAUAAGCCACACAAUGUGCACAACCCUUUGAUAUAGAUGCUUUGGGUUACAUGCAAACCUCAUUAAAUUCAAAUCAAGACUGACCUAGAGUAAGCAUGAGUGCCUCAGUCUAGAGAGCUGUGUACUCUCUGAAGUAUACACUUCAGUGCACACACAGCUAUCUUCAUUUAUUUCAGUGGAGAGGCCUGAUCCAGCCUAAUAUGAUAGGAAAAAAAGUGUAAAUGUGGACAUCUCAUGUAAUCUGCAUAUUUGCUCUGUGUUGCGGUGUGUGUGGAGUGUUCUGUUAUUUUCUCUCCGUGUGUGUUACUUGCAGCCUUUGAGUCUUCUGCUUGCAGAAAAAGAGGAUUUUCCUACACCGUCAAAUUUAUUGGAUGUUACCUAUUUUAGCCUCCCUCCUUUUGUUUGUGCGAUAACACACCUUGUUUGUGCACUAUGGUUCAUUGCCACUUCCAUAUGGCUGUUGAAUACGAUUGCACGUUCCUUCAGGGGGCUAUAAAUAGGGUAUCUUGAGGGAUUGUCAGGCAAGGAACAACCCCACACAGACUCUCUGUGUGUGUCUCUGUGUGGAAAUGAUCUCCAAAUCAGCCUAGGAUGGCACACAGUUCAUUUAUAAUUUGGCCACAAUAAAAAGAAUAGAUGGGCCAGUGCAGAAGGAGACACUCUGAGAAACCACACUGUACCAAAGAUUUACAUCUGCUGGUGCAUAUCUUUUGCGUUAGAAGGCAUGUUGAGGAUUCCAAAACCCUUUAUAAGGUUGAACACUCCAUGCAAAUAUUAAAUACAUUAAGCAAGAGGAAGGGUCGGGCAGCGCUAUACAUUUGCCAUGUUUGCUCCUGGCCUUUACACCACUGAAAAGCACUUAUCCUUUCUCCAUUUCCCCAAACAUGAAUGGAGAAAUCUCAUGUCAGAAAGCUGCUGCACAGGUAAACCUUGGGUGGACUUAAUUGCAAGUACAGCUGCUCAACUUGGUUGGCAAUCAGCUGGGAAUGCCUUUGUUUGUUUAUCUUGUUUCAUAUGUGUGUGUGUGUGUGUGUGUAUACACACAAAACACUGGAUUGUACAGGAAGAAAUAAAUAAAUCUCAAACCGGUUUACAAAAAGAAGGCAAAACGUUAAAAUGACCGAUAAGAAAAAUUAAUAGCAAGUAAUUUUAGACUGUCAAGAAGGUAAAAUAACAGUAGACUAAAAACAGAUAAACUUCCUUAACAUCUGGGGAGGCACAUCUAAACAAAAGCGCUUUUAGCAGAUGCCAAAAAGAGUGCAGUGAAGAUGCUUGCCUGAUAUCAAGAGGCAGAGAGCUCCCAAGUGUAGGUGCCACCACACUGAAAGAUGGAGUUCUUGCAAAUGUAGACUGGGUAUUAUGCAGCACUUGUAACAGUGCCAAUUCUGCCACAAUCAAGUGGGUGUAUAUGGGGGCAAGGUGAUCUCUUGGGGAAACUGGUCCUAAGUUGGUUCCUAAGUGCAUUGGCUUUAAUGGGGUGAGAUUCAAGCUGCAUGCCAAGGGGGAUGAACGCCUCUCACGCCCUAAGCUUCCUGGAAAUGUUAGCAUCACAGAAAGGUGUGUGUGUGUGUGUGUGUGUGUGUGUGUGUGUGUGUGUGUGUUCAUUCACAGGUAAAGUUGCAUGCCCAAGUCUUUGGCUCAGCAUCUCUGCUUAAAAGCAUAUCCACUGCUCAGCCUCCAUGUAGGAAGGCAACCCCCGCUUGAACAACAAGAGAUCAUUAAGUUGCAAACCUGGCUUUUUAAGCUGCUUCGGGAAAAUAUUCUAUCAUAUGGCAUGAGGAGGGGUGGAAACUCUCUCUUCUAAAAAAUGCAAAGUCCAAAGCAACUUUGUGUGCAUGGGGUAGUUGUGUGGGUUUUCGUGGGGUGGGUGAGUUUGGAUACUGGCCAGAUUUCUUUAUCUAAUGGCAAACAGCAGAAUGUGUGUAACUAUGGCAGUAAGAGUUGGCGGGAUGGGAGUCAGUGUACAAGCUGUGUAAGUCAACUACAAUGAUUCCAAAUACACUUUCAUAUUUAAAGUGUACUUAAUGGGAUUGGCCACCUGUCAAAUACUGCUGCCCAGGUCAUAUGCUUUCCUUCAUAAUAGGCUCCCGUUAAUAGAGUUUUUAUUAUUUGGAUUUGGCAGGCAUACAUGCUUUUAUUGAAUGAACUUCCUGCUAAGUUUCGGAAGAGAGCAAUGGCUGGUUUAUAACAUAAUUGCACUAUAUGUUGAUAGUAUCUUUUAUUGUAAUUGUUUUUCAUUGUUUUUAAUAAAAGAAUAGGAAUAAUAGGAGACAUAGUAGAAGAUGAAUUUUUUUCCUUGCCUUUCAUUAUUCAUGAAACUAAAAAAAAAAAAAAAAUCCCAAAUAAGCAUUUUACAGAGGGUAAAAAGGUCUCAUUCCAAAAGUGCCUAAUUUAAAUCAGUUUAUACAGUGAAACAGCUAAUGAUCUUUAGUGUUGAGAGGUGUAAUGCUUUUAUACUUUUUUAUGAAUAGAAUUGUAGGGAGGGGGUAGCUCCAUUGUGUAGGGUAUGCUGAAUUUCUACAACCAUCCUUUAUCAACAGAUGGCAACUAGCACAUGAAAAAUAAUU
rnacentral:lncRNA from 1 species